UGCUCUUCAGCAAUGAGCUGUGUGUCCCUGGAAGCCCCCGCCUAACAGCCCUAUGUAGUGUUUUGGGAGCUGUCUCACCUGUUUGUUCGCUUCCCACUUCUCAGUUCACCUGUUUGAACACUCUUUGCAUUUGUUGCUAUAUAAAUCUACCCGAGUUGACUGUUUCACCUGCGCUGGAUCCAUACAGCAAAUCUUAACAGGUCCCAGUGUUGUAGAAGACAUCCUGCUUUGUUCCGGUAUCAAAGAAGUCCUCUCCAUCUGUCCUCAAUGAUUAUAGACCCGUGGCAUUAACAUCCCACGUAAAGUCCUGGAGAGACUGGUCUUGGCUCAUCUCAGACCUCAGACUUGCAGUCCAACUCUGAAUCCUGUCAUCUGCAAAAAUUCUCAGAUGACUCUGCCAUUGUGGGUUUUGUUGGUGGUGGAGAGGAGACUCCAGGAGGAGUCUAAAGGGAGUAGGCCAAUGGCUUUGUGUCUUGGUGUGGGGAAAAACCAUCUCAUUUUAUGUGGCCAAGACAAAGGAGAUAGUUGGUGACUUUAAGAGGACCAGGACUAAUUUGAACACCAUCUACAUCUGGGGGGGGGGCUACAUAUACCUGGGUGUUCACCUUGACAACAGACUGGACUGGAAGUGUAACACUGACACUGUCUACAGAUGGGACAGAGCAGACUCUACUUCUUGAGGGAGCUUUUUUCCUUUAAUGUAUGCAGCAAGAAGUUGCAAUUUCUUUUUUACCAGUCUGUUGUAGUUGUUUUUUUGCAGACCAUUCUACACAUUUAUAUAAUAGCCUAAAGAUAUAUUAGUUGUUUGUUCAUAUUUGUAAAUGUGUUUUAAAUUGCAGGUUUUGUGUAUUUGAUUUGAUUUUAUCAUAUGUAAACUGCUGCUACUGCAACACUGCAGUUUCUCUUCAGUGAUGAAUAAUCUAUCUAGAUUACAUACAACAUAUAAUCAAUUAAAAAAAGACUUUCUAGAUUAAGAUGUCCAGCAGCAAGUAAUUUAAAUUAGACCCACCGUUACCAGCUGCAACAUUAAAGUAAUGUAGCCUACUCCGAUCUGUAAUUAUAAUCCAAUAAUAUACAUUAUUCUGAAAUGGGCGAUUCUUCAUAAAUAUAUUGUGAUGCUUAUACUUUUGUACUUUAACUUGAGUAAAAAUUUGAAUGCAUGG